UACGGGGGGGGCAAGCGUUGUUCGGAAUUACUGGGCGUAAAGGGCUCGUAGGUGGCCAACUAAGUCGGACGUGAAAUCCCUCGGCUUAACCGGGGAACUGCGUCCGAUACUGGAUGGCUUGAGUUUGGGAGAGGGAUGCGGAAUUCCAGGUGUAGCGGUGAAAUGCGUAGAUAUCUGGAGGAACACCGGUGGCGAAGGCGGCAUCCUGGACCGACAUUGACGCUGAACGGCGAAAGCUAGGGGAGCAAACGGG
rnacentral:rRNA from 1 species